rnacentral:lncRNA from 1 species
UUCUAAUCACGUUGGAGUUCUGCAGUCUCCAUAGCAACGGCACAGACUGGAGUGUAUAAUGAUGGGUGUGAUACACUGGUCAUUCACAAGGGGCUGCUGUAUCCUCGCCAAACGCUCGCAGAAGCCCGCCAGCUCCAUUCUCCCGCAGGAUGGACCUCCCGCCUCGUCUUAAGAAAGAGCAGUGAGGAAGGAGACAGAAGUGGACGAAGCUUUAUAGGAGUUUAUUCUCCGGAGGCCGGAUUGCCUGUGUGGACCCCAGCUUGCCAAACAUAGGGGCGCGUGGACUGUUCCCUGCUCCUCCACACUUCUGGGAGGAGGUGCCUUCAAAAAACAUCCCCCUCGUCCAGCCUCCGGGCCCUGAUUUCCCCCUGGCUAGACAGCCCCAGCGCACCACUUGCCUUUUCUGUGUCAGUAUUCUGUCUCUUUACCGAAAGAAGAUGGACUCCUGUGUUGAUGUGCUGUUUCUGCUGCUAAAUUCUAGGGAAUGGAAGCCCUGCCUCCUGCUGAUGACGCUUGAGCGGAUAGUUUCUAUGGCUGUCAUGUUGUGGCCACAGAUGGGUUGAAUUGUCACCAUUUCAGAGAGGGAGUUGAAGGAAACGCUGUCGCACUGUGACCAGAUGGAGUCCUUCUAUCGCUCGUUUGAGUAGUAGGUGUUUUUAAUGUUUGGCUUCUAAUAACUGCAUGAACCUACAGUACAUGUUUCAUCAUCUGAGGCUUGGUUACAUAAAUGUUCAUCUGUGUGCGGCUUGCACCCAUGCACCACAUCGCCACCAAACCAAGGUCCGUCAGUCAUUUUCUAUGCCGUAGCCUACAGUGAAUCUGCCUUGAGCAGUUAUUCACUCCACUGGGUCUGAAUGCUCGCACCUGCUCCUGUAACACACUCCAUCCGUCAUUUCACACACACACACACACACACACACACACACACACACACACUAAUACACACUCCUAUAGUAACUUCCCUUAGUGGCCUCGUAACACACUCCACACACACACACACACACAGACACACACACACACACACACACACACACACACACUAAUACACACUCCUAUGAAUCCCCUUAUGGAG